UGGGCUCAGGGUACAAAGGUU
rnacentral:miRNA from 1 species